GAAGGAAGGAAGUAAACUCCUCAGGAUUCUCUAAAGAAGCAUGGAGAGACGUUCUGAUCGAUUGGCGGUAGAUUUAACACCCAUGGCUGAAGGAGGAGGAAACCUGACAUCAGAGACUGGAAGGGAAGCCCACUGCUGACCAACCACGAGAACCACUGCUUCUAAUCAAGAUCUCAAUUUAGGGACCAACACCUCUCUCCAUUAAAGGGCGUAUGAGCUUUAAUAAUGAGACUAAAAUGAUUCCGAUUAGACUGAAGGGAAAGUCAAUGCUACAGCAGAGACAACUGUGUUUCCCAGAUGAGGACAACUUCAUCUUCCAACUACCUUCAUGUUUAGUGUUCAAGACUCAGCAAACGUGAGCAGCCUAUGCUGUGUAGCCAUUCAUAGAAGGGGUGCUGCCUGAGCAUAAAAGGGAGUCUUUGGAAAAAUCAGAUUGCUAACGCCUUUGAUGAGCACCCUGCUGCUCACUGGAGGAUAGAAAGAUGGCUUGCAGGCUCAAGGAAUUUGUGUUUCAAAUCAAAAGG